rnacentral:rRNA from 1 species
AGGGGUUGUCAUGACCUCUGUGCCGCCGCAAACGCAUUAAGUAUUCCGCCUGGGGAGUACGGUCGCAAGAUUAAAACUCAAAGGAAUUGACGGGGGCCCGCACAAGCAGCGGAGCAUGUGGUUUAAUUCGAAGCAACGCGAAGAACCUUACCUAGACUUGACAUCUCCUGAAUUACUCUUAAUCGAGGAAGUCCCUUCGGGGACAGGAAGACAGGUGGUGCAUGGUUGUCGUCAGCUCGUGUCGUGAGAUGUUGGGUUAAGUCCCGCAACGAGCGCAACCCUUAUUGUUAGUUGCUACCAUUAAGUUGAGCACUCUAGCAAGACUGCCCGGGUUAACCGGGAGGAAGGUGGGGAUGACGUCAAAUCAUCAUGCCCCUUAUGUCUAGGGCUACACACGUGCUACAAUGGCAAGUACAAAAAGAUGCAAUACCGCAAGGGUGGAGCUAAACUUAAAAACUUGUCUCAGUUCGGAUUGUAGGCUGAAACUCGCCUACAUGAAGCUGGAGUUGCUAGUAAUCGCG